rnacentral:rRNA from 1 species
UACGUAGGGUGCAAGCGUUAAUCGGAAUUACUGGGCGUAAAGCGUGCGUAGACGGUUACAUAAGUCGGGUGUGAAAGCCCCGGACUCAACCUGGGAAUUGCAUUCGAGACUGCGUAGCUAGGGUGCGGAAGAGGGAAGCGGAAUUUCCGGUGUAGCGGUGAAAUGCGUAGAUAUCGGAAGGAACACCAGUGGCGAAAGCGGCUUCCUGGUCCAGCACCGACGUUCAGGCACGAAAGCGUGGGGAGCAAACAGG